rnacentral:rRNA from 1 species
CGAAGAGCACUUUAGUUUGACACCCCGAAACCAAGUGAGCUACUCCAAGACAGCCUCUAAGGGCGCACCCGUCUCUGUGGCAAAAGAGUGGGAAGAUCUUUGAGUAGAGGUGACAGACCUACCGAACUUGGUUAUAGCUGGUUGCCCAGGAAAUGAAUAGGAGUUCAGCCUUUUGCCUUCUUUCCACACAUGCCGGUUACACCGAAAGCAUUUAAGCAGGUCAAAAGAGUUAGUCAAAGGGGGUACAGCCCCUUUGAAAAAGAUACAACUUUACCAGAAGGGUUAAGAUCACAGCACUUAUUAAGGGAACGUGUUCUAGUUGGCCUAAGAGCAGCCACCCAAGCAGAAAGCGUUAAAGCUCAAACACCUCCCCGCCCCUAUUAUCCGGAUCACAUUAAUCUUACCCCCCUAAACAUACUGAGCCUUCCCAUACACCUAUGGGAGAGAUUAUGCUAAUAUGAGUAAUAAGAGAUCCCCGCAUCUCUCCCUGCACAAGUAUAUAUCGGAACGAACUAACACCGACAAUUAACGGCCCCAAGAAAGAGGGAACUGAAAUAUUAUGGCCAGGCCACUAGAAGACCAUCCACCCCCUAACCGUUAACCUUACACCAGAGUGCACUCAAGGAAAGACUAAAAGAAAAAGAAGG